rnacentral:rRNA from 1 species
UACGGGGGGGGCAAGCGUUGUUCGGAAUUACUGGGCGUAAAGGGCUCGUAGGCGGCCAACUAAGUCAGACGUGAAAUCCCUAGGCUCAACCUAGGAACUGCGUCUGAUACUGGAUGGCUUGAAUCCGGGAGAGGGAUGCAGAAUUCCAGGUGUAGCGGUGAAAUGCGUAGAUAUCUGGAGGAAUACCGGUGGCGAAGGCGGCUCACUGGCCCGUAACUGACGCUGAGGCACGAAAGCGUGGGGAGCAAACAGG